rnacentral:lncRNA from 1 species
CAAUCAUCCUAUUAUUCUCUUUUCAGUAACUUACUUCAAGGAUAGGUUCCUUCAAGCUAAGGCUUCCAUAGCUAUAGUGCAUUUGAAAACCUCCAGGUUAAAUUAUCUCUGAGGUUCUAAGACUCAGGAUGCUAAUUCCACAGUCCAAACCAAACUGUUUUGCAUAGCAGGGACCAAACACCAUCUCUUUGGUUUUAGAGAAGAGAAAUCAACACAGUCUAUUUUGCCUGACUUGUGGAAAGAUGCUGAUGGAGCUAAGACCUGAGGAGCAUCCUUUGAUGAGUCUACUUAGACAUGAACUGCACCAAGAGCAACUCGAACCAAAGGACACAUCAACAAACGACAACAACACUUCUCAUCAGGGAGGUAAACGAUGUGGCUGACGUUUGUAAUUCCUUGGACGUGCUGGUAGGUGGUUGUCUCAGAGGGAGAAUGAGUGACAGGGAGCUGCCAGCAGACACAGGAAAAGAAUACAAAUGAUUUUCCUUGAAAGGAUGCAAGUAAGAGCUUUCCUGCAGGAAGGCAGAGGUGCAGGGGA